rnacentral:lncRNA from 1 species
AGAGAAACUCCAGGAGUGCUACAAAGGAGAACAAUGUGUCCGUAUCAUUAUGGAGCUUAAAAAUGUACCAUGUGGAUGACACUUAUAUCUCCAAGACCUGCUGCCAGCUUGAGAUAUGACCUGCUCCUCUUGGAUCACACCUAUGCCAGGAUCUGUGUGCUGACCCUGAGGAAAUACUUUUCUUUGUUCCAUUGAAGCUCAGAAUUUCAUUUCAGUGGUGUUGAUUUUUAUGAUAGUGUGAUGGUUUACGUAUGCUUGGCCCAGGGAGUGGCACUAUUAGAAAGUAUGGCCUUGUUGGAGGAAGUGUGUCACUGUUGGGGGUGGGUUUGGAGACCCUCCUCCUAGCUGUCUGAGGAUGCUCAGUCUGUUCCUGGCUUCCUUUGGGUGAAGAUGUAGAACUCAGCUCCUCCUGCACCAUGUCUGCCUGGAUGCUGUGAUGCUGUCAUGCUCCCACCUUGUUGAUAAUGGACUGAACCUCUGAACCUGCAAGCCAGCCCCAAUUAAAUACUGUCUUUUAUAAA